rnacentral:rRNA from 1 species
UACGGAGGGUGCUAGCGUUGUUCGGAAUUACUGGGCGUAAAGCGCGCGUAGGUGGUUUGUUAAGUUGGAUGUGAAAUCCCCGGGCUCAACCUGGGAACUGCAUUCAAAACUGACAAGCUAGAGUAUGGUAGAGGGUGGUGGAAUUUCCUGUGUAGCGGUGAAAUGCGUAGAUAUAGGAAGGAACACCAGUGGCGAAGGCGACCACCUGGACUGAUACUGACACUGAGGUGCGAAAGCGUGGGGAGCAAACAGG